rnacentral:tRNA from 1 species
GCCUGGGUGGCUCAGCGGUUGAGCGUCUGUCUUUGGCCCAGGUCGUGACUGUGGGGUCCUGGGAUCAAGUCCCACAUCAGGCU